AUCUUUAUUGAGUCACAUCAAUUUUGCACAUAGUCGUAGUCCAGAUUUCCGCCUGGUUUGUGGAAUAGAUGGGUGUACUAAAGAGUACCGAGUCUACAACUCUUUUUGGUAUCAGAUCAGACGAACACACUCACAAUAUCUAGACGGCGUGAGUAGCAGCAGAUCCCAUCGGAGAGAGAGAUCAGCACAACACGAGGCAUCCGGUGAACCUAGAAGAACGGACAGCAACAACUUGUGGACAUAUAGUGGACCAACGCUGGUGGCUCAGGAUACUCGGAACUCAAGUGACAGUCCGGAUAAUGAAACGACACUGGAGAAUAAUGUGGAUUUUCAAACCUCUCGUCUUGUUCCUGUGGAACAUUUUGGUGAUUUUGAUGCUUUUGACACUGGUGAAACAGUUUUCUCUGGCUUAAGCAGUAACAACGUUUUGCGGUCUCCUCCGAACCUGGAAGUACAGGAUGUAUUACUAUUCGAAUCCCACUCCACCUAUUCCAAACAGGCCUUCAGAUGACUCAAGUUCUUCAUGCCUCCCCCAAGAAACCAUGAAUGACGAAUUAUCAAGUGAUGGUGUGCUAUCCAGACAUGCCACUGCUAUUGUGAUGACUGCUAGAGAGAAACAUCAUCUCUCACAGAGUGGUGUGAAUGAUGUUGUGGCUGUAGUUCAGGAGUAUCAAGCUCAUUUACUGAACAGCUUGAGGAGUCAGCUACAAACAGUAUUCAACAGACAUGCAGGAAGUGAACUUCAACGAGAAGCUUUGGGACUCUUUGACUCCUUUAUAGAUUCAUUUGCUGCAGUUUCAACAUCCUAUAGACAGGACAGUGUCAUAAAAGAAAAAUUCAAUUUUGUGGAAGCAGAAGAGGUUUCAGUCGGAUUAGCAGUAUGUCGUCAGAAAAGAAAAAAACUAAGAGACCUCGCAAUAAAAAACAAAUGUUUCCAUUAUAUACCCCUGAUAAAGAGUUUAGAACAAUUAAUGUCUCAUCCAAAAAUUUUUGCCAUGAUAAAUGGUGGAUCUCAGAAAUGCAGCAGUGGAUAUUUUUAUGACAUCAUAGAUGGCGAACUAAUGCUUUCACACCCUUUAUUUUCUUCUAGACCCUCUGCUUUACAGAUAAUCCUUUAUUCGGAUGAAAUCGAAAUUUGCAAUCCACUUGGGUCUCAUGCUUCAAAGAAUAAGUUGCUCAUGUUUUACUACACUUUGGGAAACAUUAAUCCAAAGUACAGGUAAAAAUUAGCUUCAAUCCGUCUUCUUGCUAUUGCAAAGCAAAGUGAACUCUCAGAAUGUGGAGUUGAUGCCAUAUUGGCAAGAUUGCAUGAGGACUUAGUAAAGCUAUAUAAUGCCGUGAAGAUUCAUCCUCCAUGUGGUGAACAUGAGAUAUAUGGAGCAGUGGUUUCCGUAUGUGGAGAUACUUUAGCUCAACAUGAGUUAUGUGGAUUUAAAGAGGGUGUGGGCUUUGCAUACAGUAAAUGCCAACAUUGUGAAUGUUCUUCUGAGGACAUGCAAAUGUUUUUUAAUAAAGAAAACUUUGAGCAAAGAACACUGGAAAGACAUAUUCGACAGUGCAGUGACAUUGAGAAAGCCAGUACUGAAUAUCUCAAGAACAGCCUUAAAACUACAUAUGGAAUAAACCGGAGGAGCAAAGUAAUGGAUUUCCCUGCCUUCAAUUUAAUCCAACAAACUCCUCAAGAUAUAAUGCAUGUAAUUCUUGAGGGCAUUGCUCCCUUGGAAAUUAAGUGUAUGCUGAAACAAUUGGUUCUUUUGGGACAACUGGACCUUGAUGCUUUCAAUGCUGAUAUCAUUGGAUUCCCAUACUCUCCACAAGAUACUAGAGAUAGGCCUAGCCCUAUUGCAUACAGUACGUUAGCUUCCAAUGACAACAAACUGAAGCAGUCAUCAGGUCAAAUGCUUGUUUUGCUCAAAAUAGUGCCCUUUCUAUUGGAUGUGAUUAAAGGUACUGCAUAUUUUUCCUUCAUUCUUGAGCUUCUGGAGAUUGUUCAAAUUUUGUUUUCACCAGUUAUUAGCCUUGAGACUACUGACAAGUUGAAAGUACUUAUUAAACAGCAUCUUAAACAUUUUAAGGACCUUUUCUCAGAGAACAACAUUACACCUAAACAACAUUGAUUCAUGUUCCAUCCCAGAUUAAACUGUUGGGACCAAUGCUCCGUCACAUGUGCAUGAGGUUCGCAUCCAAACAUUGUUUUUUUAAAAGAUGGGUUUCAAAGUCCUUAAUUAAGCAUAACCAAAUGUUUGAAUGCUGUCAGAAUGUAAACAGUUCCAACCACCCGAUUUUUGCCAGUGAAUGUGUAUUGGGACCAGUAUCAGAAGUAAAAAACAUGCCGUAUUUAAAAGGAAAAGUAAGGGACUACUUUGGAGUUGAUCAGAUAAACCAUGCAGUGUCUGUUAAGUGGAUUACUUUAAAUGGAAACAAAUACAUUAGUGACAAAACAUUACUAGUGUGUAUGGCAAAUGGUAGUAGUCUACCAGAAUUUGGACUUGUGAGGAACAUAUUCGUCAUAAAUUCAUCUUUGUAUUGUGAAUGUCAGAUGUACAGUACAGUCUGUUUUGACAGAGACUACAUGUCUUAUAAAAUUGAGGUUCCCAACCUGGCAGAGGCAACUGAACUAGUUAAUGCAGACAACCUUGUAGACUUCACACCGUAUUACAGUUUAAGUCACAGGGACAUUACAUACGUCCCUGUGAAAUAUUACCUCGGAGAUGUGAUUGAAU
ensembl:lncRNA